UACGUAGGGACCGAGCGUUGUCCGGAAUCAUUGGGCGUAAAGAGCGUGUAGGCGGCCACUUAAGUCCUGCGUGAAAUCUUGCGGCUCAACCGCAAGCGGUCGUGGGAAACUGGGUGGCUAGAGUGCGGGAGAGGAGAGUGGAAUUCCUGGUAUAGCGGUGAAAUGCGCAGAUAUCAGGAGGAACACCGGUGGCGAAGGCGGUUCUCUGGGCCUUACCUGACACUGAGGAGCGAAAGCGUGGGGAGCGAACAGG
rnacentral:rRNA from 1 species